rnacentral:rRNA from 1 species
UAACCUACGGGACGCAGCAGUGGGGAAUAUUGCACAAUGGGGGAAACCCUGAUGCAGCGACGCCGCGUGAGUGAGGAAGUAUUUCGGUAUGUAAAGCUCUAUCAGCAGGGAAGAAAAUGACGGUACCUGACUAAGAAGCCCCGGCUAACUACGUGCCAGCAGCCGCGGUAAUACGGAGGAUGCGAGCGUUAUCCGGAUUUAUUGGGUUUAAAGGGUGCGUAGGCGGUCCGUUAAGUCAGCGGUAAAAUUGCGGGGCUCAACCCCGUCGAGCCGUUGAAACUGGCAGACUUGAGUUGGCGAGAAGG